rnacentral:rRNA from 1 species
UACGUAGGGUGCGAGCGUUAAUCGGAAUUACUGGGCGUAAAGCGUGCGCAGGCGGUUCGUUGUGUCGGCGGUGAAAGCCCCGGGCUUAACCUGGGAACUGCGCUUCUAACUGGCAGGCUUGAGUGUGGCAGAGGGGGGUGGAAUUCCACGUGUAGCAGUGAAAUGCGUAGAGAUGUGGAGGAACACCGAUGGCGAAGGCAGCCCCCUGGGCUAACACUGACGCUCAUGCACGAAAGCGUGGGGAGCAAACAGG